ACAAAGGAACCGGGCGGCGGUUGCGCCGCCAACCCCGCCAGGUCCGAAAGGAAGCAACGGUAACGGUUGCUGCCGGGUGUCCGGUUCCUUGAAAGG
rnacentral:SRP_RNA from 1 species